ACGCUCGACACCUACGGGAGGCAGCAGUCGGGAAUAUUGCGCAAUGGAGGAAACUCUGACGCAGUGACGCCGCGUAUAGGAAGAAGGUUUUCGGAUUGUAAACUAUUGUCGUUAGGGAAGAUACAAGACAGUACCUAAGGAGGAAGCACCGGCUAACUAUGUGCUAGCAGCCGCGGUAAUCUGAGCGGGCUGGCAAGGC
rnacentral:rRNA from 1 species